rnacentral:misc_RNA from 1 species
GUGAAUCAUCGAAUUUUUGAACGCAAAUUGCACUCUUUUCGGAGAGUAUGCCUGUUUGAGGGUCAGACUAAAAAAAUUGACGUAGUCGCUGGUUUGCGGUGACAUUCGUAGGAAAUUGGGUUAGCUUAAACCUUUGGGUUUUUAAGAGGCUAAAAAUAUUCUUAACGUUUCCAUGAACGUUUCUUAGACUUUAC